GACGAACGCUGGCGGCGUGCUUAACACAUGCAAGUCGAACGCUGAAGCUCAGCUUUUGUUGGGUGGAUGAGUGGCGAACGGGUGAGUAACACGUGAGUAACCUGCCCCCUUCUUUGGGGUAACGCCCGGAAACGGGUGCUAAUACUGGAUAUUCACUGGUCUUCGCAUGGGGGUUGGUGGAAAGGGUUUUUCUGGUGGGGGAUGGGCUCGCGGCCUAUCAGCUUGUUGGUGGGGUGAUGGCCUACCAAGGCUUUGACGGGUAGCCGGCCUGAGAGGGUGACCGGGCACAUUGGGACGGAGAUACGGCCCAGACUCCGACGGGGGGCAGCAGUGGGGAAUAUUGCACAAUGGGCGCAAGCGUGAUGCAGCGACGCCGCGUGAGGGAUGGGGGCCUUCGGGUUGUGAACCUCUUUCGCUCAUGGUCAAGCCGCAACAAUGGUUGUGGUGAGGGUAGUGGGUAAAGAAGCGCCGGCUAACUACGUG
rnacentral:rRNA from 1 species